rnacentral:sRNA from 1 species
GCCAGGCAGGGUGUCACAUGCCUGUAAUCCCAGCAAUGCAGGAGGCUGAGGCAGGAGGAUUGUGAGUUUGAGGCCAGCCUCAGUAACUUAGUAAGACUCUGUCUCAA